CCUACGGGAGGCAGCAGUGGGGAAUAUUGGACAAUGGGGGGAACCCUGAUCCAGCCAUGCCGCGUGUGUGAAGAAGGCCCUCGGGUUGUAAAGCACUUUCAGUGAGGAAGAACGCCUGGUGGUUAAUACCCAUCAGGAAAGACAUCACCCACAGAAGAAGCACCGGCUAACUCCGUGCCAGCAGCCGCGGUAAUACGGAGGGUGCGAGCGUUAAUCGGAAUUACUGGGCGUAAAGCGCGCGUAGGUGGCUUGAUAAGCCGGUUGUGAAAGCCCCGGGCUCAACCUGGGAACGGCAUCCGGAACUGUCAAGCUAGAGUGCAGGAGAGGAAGGUGGAAUUCCCGGUGUAGCGGUGAAAUGCGUAGAGAUCGGGAGGAAUACCAGUGGCGAAGGCGGCCUUCUGGACUGACACUGACACUGAGGUGCGAAAGCGUGGGUAGCAAACAGGAUUAGAUACCCCGGUAGUC
rnacentral:rRNA from 1 species